rnacentral:rRNA from 1 species
UACAGAGGUCCCAAGCGUUGUUCGGAUUCACUGGGCGUAAAGGGUGCGCAGGUGGCUGGGUAAGUUUGAUGUGAAAGUCCCGGGCUUAACCCGGGAAUGGCAUUGAAUACUAUUCGGCUGGAGGAUUGGAGGGGGGACUGGAAUUCUUGGUGUAGCAGUGAAAUGCGUAGAUAUCAAGAGGAACACCAGUGGCGAAGGCGAGUCCCUGGACAAUUCCUGACACUGAGGCACGAAAGCCAAGGGAGCAAACAGG